UAGCAGGUUUCAUAACAAGGCUGAUUUCC
rnacentral:piRNA from 1 species